GCGGGUUUAGCUCAGUUGGGAGAGCGUCAGACUGAAGAAAUAUCUGAAGGUCGUGUGUUCGAUCCACACAAACCGCA
rnacentral:tRNA from 1 species